rnacentral:rRNA from 1 species
AGUGAACGCUGGCGGUAGGCCUAACGCAUGCAAGUCGAACGGCAGCACAGUAAGAGCUUGCUCUUACGGGUGGCGAGUGGCGGACGGGUGAGGAAUACAUCGGAAUCUACUUUUUCGUGGGGGAUAACGUAGGGAAACUUACGCUAAUACCGCAUACGACCUACGGGUGAAAGCAGGGGAUCUUCGGACCUUGCGCGAUUGAAUGAGCCGAUGUCGGAUUAGCUAGUUGGCGGGGUAAAGGCCCACCAAGGCGACGAUCCGUAGCUGGUCUGAGAGGAUGAUCAGCCACACUGGAACUGAGACACGGUCCAGACUCCUACGGGAGGCAGCAGUGGGGAAUAUUGGACAAUGGGCGCAAGCCUGAUCCAGCCAUACCGCGUGGGUGAAGAAGGCCUUCGGGUUGUAAAGCCCUUUUGUUGGGAAAGAAAAGCAGCAGGUUAAUACCCCGCCGUUCUGACGGUACCCAAAGAAUAAGCACCGGCUAACUUCGUG